rnacentral:lncRNA from 1 species
CGCAACCUUUACAAUUCUUCUUUAUACUAGAAUCAUAUUCAUUACAUGAUUUAUUUAAUCUGAAUAGAUAUGAAUAUAUGUACAAUUCAUUAUUUCAAACAUAUUCCUAAUUCAGAACAAAUGAUCUUCAUCUAUUGAAUAAUUCAAAGAUUUACUUCUUUGAGGUUUACACAUGUAAAUACCAUCAAAUGAUUCAACACAAUCUCAAUUAAAUCACUAGUCUUCUUUUCAUGCGCUCCUAAUCACGAUAGAUCGCAUCAUAGCUUUAACCUGCAAAUUAAGCAAGAUUGAGCACGACGGCCCAGCAAGUCUAACAGUCUAUCAUGCAUCACGUAGCACAUAGGUUUCACAUUCAGUUCAUGCAUUUAUAUUCUUGGUGUUCAAGCAUAUUACAAAUGCAUUAUCACAUUUAUGUCCUGCUGGUAGCAACAUACAUACCAUAGCAUACUACACAUGUCAUGUACAUGUCAUUCAUUGCACAUAUAUAUUGAGUUCCCCGACUCAAUUCAAUAAUUAGUCAUAAUUUGACAUUCAUCAUUCACAAAGCAAAUAAUGCAGUUCAUAGGUAUUACAUACUUAUAAACAUAAAUCAUGCUAACAGUUAUCUAUAGCAAUUAUAAGUCCACAUAAAUAAACUGAGAAACUUGCCUUGAGUGCUGUUUAAUGUUAUAACUUAUCUGCUCGAUGAUGAUCCUACACAAAUUGAGUAUAUAUUCAUACACACAUUAGUUUCACAUACUAAAUUCGCAUACUCAAUGUAAACUAAUUUAUUUACAUUAACUAUAAUCUUUUGUUCUCGUCAUAAAACUAUUUCACGUUUCUUUAGAAACUUUCUUUCAUUAUAACCUUUCUUUUUAUGCCCAAAAAAGUUCUCUCAUGGUUUUAGUAUAUAAAUACUUUACAUUUCAAAGCAUAAACCAUUUAUAUCUAUUUAUAGAAAUAUUUCUUGCCUCUAUUUGUAAACUUGGGACUGUAUAGUUUAUACAUAGCUUUUAUAGCGUAAACAUAGCUUAUCUCAUCAUUUCCUUAACUUUCGUAAUUUCCAUGCCUUUUUGAUAGUUUAUGUGCUAAAACCAUGCUAUCGCCACGUAUGCGAAUGCUUUACUUUAUUAAUAACUUAACUUUGCAUUUUAUAUCAUUGUGUUAGUCCAUAUACUAACUCAUUAUAUAAUUACGUACACGGACGUCUCGUAUCAUUAAUUCAUAUAGCGUAUCCAUAGCUUAAUGUUUACUCUCGCGGAUAAAUUGAAAUCUCAUUUCAUAUGUAUAUUAGUUUUAUACAUAUGUCCUUUAAUAAAACCUUGAUUCCGUUCUCAUAAUCGUCAUUUCGAAAACCCUUUUGUUUUCAAAUUUUAUAUUCAAUAUUAACACAUUCCAUUCUAAUAUAUAACUCUCUUUAUAUUUCAUUACACCCAUAGGCUCCGCAUAUGUAAACUUACGUUUACAUAAUACUUUUAUUGUUUCUCUUGUAUAUUGACGAAUUUACAUUUUAAAAGGCUUCGACAUGGCUUUAGCAUAUCAUUACGUUACAUGCUUGGUUUAUAACCAUUCAUAUCUCAUGAAUUCUCAUACUUUUAUACGUAAACUAUAGUUUAGCUUACACAUCAAAUGUAUUUAUAAUUUAUAAAUUAUAAAUAUUAAAUCAUUUCACACAUUUGUAUUAUUUCAUUUCUAUUCCAUCUCCAUACGCAAAAUUAUUAAAACCAUAGAAGCAAAACACGACGACAUCUAAACAGCGGGCACAUCCAGAAGCUUGGCCCAGCGUAGCUCGACGUGCUUGGCCUUGGCUGGGCAUCCCCAAGUACUCGAUGUCCGUUUUGCGAUUUUCUAAUUCCUAAUUCGCUAAAUCGAUCCCUUCCCAAUUUGGAUAUAUUGUAGAUACCAUAGGAGAAUAUAUUUAGAAAAUAUAAGCCACUCAUUUUAGACAUCAUAGGCAGUCCAAAACAGAACUUAAAAAUGCUCAAUCAUAACAGUUUUUAACUUUUUCCCAGCUUUACCCUCUCUCACUAAAACAGUCAUAACUAAUUCAUUUUAAAACAUUUUUGAGCGAUUCUUGAGCCCACGCGAAGCUAACUUCCGGGGCUACAACUUUCAUUCUUUGACCAUUUCCAAAUUUAAAACACAGAAUUCCAGAAAAUUCGUGCAACGUGACUGCCCCGAGUUGAUUAGACAGUUUUGACGCGACUACUUUGAACGGUUAUAACUCUUUGCUCCAAAGUCGGAAUUAGUCCGUUCCGGAGUCCAUGGAAAGCUUAUUCAAUGUACUAUAAUACCCCAAAAUCCCAAAAUUUUCUGGAAACUCUAGCUAGCCCCGAAUUUGUCUUUAGGGUCAGCAGUUCACAAUUUUUUUCGGUUUCUAACAUAUUUUACUAAACCAUUCACUAUAAAUUCGUUUUAACUUCUUUUUGGUUCAUUCCAAUUAACACAAAACUUGACUCUUGGGACUUUAUUAGCUUUAUGUUGCUUAAAAUUUAGCCCAAACGCGAUUCAGGACGACGAAUGUCAAAACAGCCCGCGGUGGCCAAGUUCGGUGUCACCCGACUAACAUGUUCUGACAUGCUCGUCCAUUUUUAAUUCUCAAUCCCUUACUCGGAUUGCAGCGAAUUCUUAGUAUGUUUGAGUUCUUAUGUCAUAGUAUUUUUUUUCUAAAUUUCUACCCACAAAAAGAAACCACGAAAGUCAAGCAAAAUAGCUCGCCAAAGUCGCACCAGCAGCAAGCACAGAAAUCACCAGCAGGUGCUGCCUGCUGCUGCUGGCUGCUGCUGGCAGCCUGCUCAACUUCCAGCGGCCUACUUUGCGAAUUUCUCACGCGUUGCUCAUUAAUUGAAUUGAUCCCAAAUUUGAAUAUGUUUGACUCGACAUAUCAAAGUAUUUUUAGAAAAUACUAACAUUGAAUUUCGGGUAUUUUAAACUUCCCAAACAGUGUGCUCAAAAAGGCUGUUCACACAAAUUUUCAAUCUUCGCGUUUAGAGGUUAAAACUCGCCUCGACGCGAUCCAACCCUAUCGCUUCCUGACUAAGCCUUAAUUAGCAUAGUAAGACUUGUCUAAGGUAUCAGCUUCAUUAAAUUCCAAGUUUCAUCCGAUUUUGUUCUUUAUGGCCAUUUAUUUAUAAUUUAUGUCAUGUAUUAAAUUGAUUUUUUGUCUUAUAUAUAAAUUAUAACUAAUAUAUUAAUUUAUAUAUAUAAAUUUACGUGAUUUCAUUUUUCAUGAACUAAACACCAAAAUCAUCAAAAUGUCAUAACCAAGCUAGCUAGCUGCUGUAGUGUAGCGCAACCAGCAGCGCGCUUGCGCGUAGCUGCGGCUAUUGCUGCCUGCAAGCAGCAGCUAUGCCCUGCUGCCCCAACAGUAACGUGCUCAUUUCACGAUUUUCUAGUUUACAACUCACAUAACUAAUAGCAACCAAACCUUGGCAUGAUAUAAAGGGCAUAGUAUAAUAUUUACAGAAAAUAUAUCUCAGCCAAAUUAAAUAUUAUUGACAGGUUUAAUAAAGGUUCAAAGUUGCCCUGUUGCAAUUGAUUUUCAACAUAACUAAAUUGCUCUUCUUGUCAAAAUAGAUUUUAAUCUCACUUUUAUUUGUUCAAUUCACUUGAAUCAUUACAUAAAACGGAUGUGAAAAGUUUACAAAUUAUAAACUUACCAAAUUCCUUAAUUACAUACAAUAGCUCCUAAGAAACCUUUUAUCAAACAUAGCAUAUGCAUUCUAUAUUUGGACAGAGAUCAUACAUGUUUAUAUAUAUAUAAUCCCAGAUAUUUCCUUCUUUAUUACCCCUCACAACGACUACCAAACUUCUUUCUUUCUAAUUCACAGAUAUCACAAUCAAACUACUAGUUUAAUCACAGCAGCCCUCAUUGUGAAUAAGAUUUAAUUUCUAACUUUGAAUAAAAUAACAUAGUACUAACCUCGUUAUGAUGGUUUGAUGAGCUGAAUUCCACUCUUAUGGUUCAGUUAUACAACCCCUUCUUGCUGCCUUACUAACUGAAACUAUGCCCCAACCAGGAUUACAUCUUGGUUCCUUGCGAAGUUCUUUGUUCUAGCCGAAAUGGUAAAGUAUAAGGUGAAGUUUCUCUGGAAAUUUUGAAGUUUCUAGGAGAGUAAUAGGAAUUAGAGUACAACGGGGAUAGAGAGUAG